CCAGAGUCUUGUGGCACCUUAAAGCCUAGCAAAAUUUAUUGUAGCAUAAGCUUUUGUGGAAAAACCAAAAGGAAAUCAAACCAUUCAACAAAAACUGCAAAAAAGCAACCUAGAUGUAAGUCUAUAAAACACAUUUUAUAGCUAUACAAAUUUAAAACUUGGCACAUCUCUAGAACAUACAUUCAUUUUUUGGUAAGAAUAAAACACCAAUGUUUCAACCGUAAAAAGACACAAUUCUUUCACAGGUUAUUUUACUAUCCUGGGCAGAGUAGAGCGGAAGGCAGGGUAUUACUUUAAAAUGUUUAUACAGUAUGUGAAACUGAUACUGGUCAAUUUCUGGUCAGAACGUGUAUUUUAGUGCUACAUGAAGCUGUUUAUACAGGCAACUCCCAGUUUAGGUACGUUAGAUGUGCAAUUGCCCCAAACCUGAAGUAGCCCCAAUACAUCAUAAAUACGUCAUGAAAAGGGGCAGAGCUGGGUGGAGCAGGCUUAUUUCAUCAGAGGUAUGAAAUAUACUCGCAGGCUGACAUACACAUAGGUCGGGGUGCUGUUGGGAGAAAUUGGGUCGGGGGGAAACAAAAAGCAUAAAUAGUAGUGAUAGCUAUGUAAAACCAAACUUAAAAGUAAAUGAUUUAGGUAACCAGAGUUCUUGCCUGUGCCUACUGUAGGGUUGUUCAAUGCACUGUAUAGGACUUGCAGGACCUGCGCCUCUCUGGCAUCCGUGAAUAUAUAAAUCUAGGUUUGUGGUGUCCGUGUGUGGCUCUAUUAUGAUUUAUUAAAUGUGUAUACUCUACUUUUUGCAUUGCCAGAUUGUGAAAUAUGGCAGCGUAUCUGAUAUAGCAGCCCUGUCUAAAUAUAUGUCAUUCAUUAAAUUACUAUUUUCAGCUGAAGGAGGAACAUGAUAACCCUGCAGUACAGGGAAGCAAAUUUUGAGAAAUGGGUGACAGCUUGCUUGAUUUUGACUGCCUUUCCCCUCUGAAAGACUGAAGCAGGAACAUAUGUUCUCCAAUAACCCAUAAAAAAACUUGUUCAGCAAAGAUAUUUCAGCCAGAAUUUAACAGUAGAUGUUGCAAGUGAAAAUGGCUUUGGGGUCAUUCAAGGUGUACUUCUGAAAAGGCUGAUGUAACUUAUUUUUGUGAACUUUCAAGCACUAGUUAGCCAAUACCUUAAGAAAACAUUCAUACAAUAUUUCUGAUCUUAUUGUUUCCUUUUCUCGCUUGUACAAUUCAUAAACUUGCAAGUGUGUGUCAAGGAUACUGUUUAUUUUGGGAGGGAAAAUAGUUCCCAGCUCUAAGAGAUCUACAAAACUACUGGAUAAAACAAAAGCAAUGUUAUAAAUUAUCAGAUGGAUGGAAACACAACCAACCUUUUCUUCUUCUUCAUGCAGGCUUCCCAAAGGCUCAAGGUUAACAGUUCUCCAGCUGUUGAUGAAAAAGAUUCCUCAAUGCACAAGUCAUCUCUGUCACAUUGUGAAAAAUCAUUUUGCAUAGUAAACACUACAAAUACACUAAUUCAACAAAUGAAAUAAUUGAA